rnacentral:rRNA from 1 species
AGAGUUUGAUCCUGGCUCAGAUUGAACGCUGGCGGCAGGCCUAACACAUGCAAGUCGAGCGGUAGCACAGAGAGCUUGCUCUCGGGUGACGAGCGGCGGACGGGUGAGUAAUGUCUGGGAAACUGCCUGAUGGAGGGGGAUAACUACUGGAAACGGUAGCUAAUACCGCAUAACGUCGCAAGACCAAAGAGGGGGACCUUCGGGCCUCUUGCCAUCAGAUGUGCCCAGAUGGGAUUAGCUAGUAGGUGGGGUAACGGCUCACCUAGGCGACGAUCCCUAGCUGGUCUGAGAGGAUGACCAGCCACACUGGAACUGAGACACGGUCCAGACUCCUACGGGAGGCAGCAGUGGGGAAUAUUGCACAAUGGGCGCAAGCCUGAUGCAGCCAUGCCGCGUGUAUGAAGAAGGCCUUCGGGUUGUAAAGUACUUUCAGCGGGGAGGAAGGUGUUGUGGUUAAUAACCGCAGCAAUUGACGUUACCCGCAGAAGAAGCACCGGCUAACUCCGUGCCAGCAGCCGCAGUAAUA